AUAGUACUUCCUCCGUUUGAAAUUACUUGUCUUGAAAAUGGAUAUAUCUAGAACUAAAAUACAUCUAGAUACAUUCAUUUCUACUACAAGUAAUUCCGAACGAAGGAAGUACUGU
rfam:Triticum urartu cultivar G1812 contig636061, whole genome shotgun sequence.